UACGUAGGGUGCGAGCGUUAAUCGGAAUUACUGGGCGUAAAGUGUGCGCAGGCGGCCGCGCAAGUCGAGUGUGAAAGCCCCGAGCUUAACUUGGGAAUUGCGCUCGAAACUACGUGGCUGGAGUGUGGCAGAGGAAGGUGGAAUUCCAGGUGUAGCGGUGAAAUGCGUAGAGAUCUGGAGGAACACCGAUGGCGAAGGCAGCCUUCUGGGCCAACACUGUCGCUCAUGCACGAAAGCGUGGGGAGCAAACAGG
rnacentral:rRNA from 1 species